GACGAGGGUGCAGCGUGUCCGGAUUUAUUGGGCGUAAAGAGCUCGUAGGCGGCUCGUCGCGUCGGCUGUGAAAACCCGCGGCUUAACUGUGGGCUUGCAGCUGAUACGGGCGGGCUAGAGUUCGGUAGGGGAGACUGGAUUCCUGGGUGUAGCGGUGAAAUGCGCAGAUAUCAGGAGGAACACCGGUGGCGAAGGCGGGUCUCUGGGCCGAUACUGACGUGAGGAGCGAAAGCGUGGGGAGCGAACGG
rnacentral:rRNA from 1 species